AUUGAACGCUGGCGGCAUGCCUUACACACGCAAGUCGAACGGUAACAGGUCUUCGGAUGCUGACGAGUGGCGAACGGGUGAGUAAUACAUCGGAACGUGCCCGAGAGUGGGGGAUAACGAAGCGAAAGCUUUGCUAAUACCGCAUACGAUCUCAGGAUGAAAGCAGGGGACCGCAAGGCCUUGCGCUCACGGAGCGGCCGAUGGCAGAUUAGGUAGUUGGUGGGAUAAAAGCUUACCAAGCCGACGAUCUGUAGCGGGUCUGAGAGGACGACCAGCCACACUGGGACGGGGACACGGCCGAGACUCCUACGGGGGGCAGCAGUGGGGAAUUUUGGACAAUGGGCGCAAGCCUGAUCCAGCCAUGCCGCGUGCAGGAUGAAGGCCUUCGGGUUGUAAACUGCUUUUGUACGGAACGAAAAGACUCCUUCUAAUAAAGGGGGUCCAUGACGGUACCGUAAGAAUAAGCACCGGCUAACUACGUGCCAGCAGCCGCCGUAAUAC
rnacentral:rRNA from 1 species